rnacentral:rRNA from 1 species
GACGAACGCUGGCGGCGUGCUUAACACAUGCAAGUCGAACGCUGAAGCUCAGCUUUUGUUGGGUGGAUGAGUGGCGAACGGGUGAGUAACACGUGAGUAACCUGCCCCCUUCUUUGGGAUAACGCCCGGAAACGGGUGCUAAUACUGGAUAUUCACUGGUCUUCGCAUGGGGGUUGGUGGAAAGGGUUUUUCUGGUGGGGGAUGGGCUCGCGGCCUAUCAGCUUGUUGGUGGGGUGAUGGCCUACCAAGGCUUUGACGGGUAGCCGGCCUGAGAGGGUGACCGGUCACAUUGGGACUGAGAUACGGCCCAGACUCCUACGGGAGGCAGCAGUGGGGAAUAUUGCACAAUGGGCGCAAGCCUGAUGCAGAGACGCCGCGUGAGGGAUGGAGGCCUUCGGGUUGUGAACCUCUUUCGCUCAUGGUCAAGCCGCAACAAUGGUUGUGGUGAGGGUAGUGGGUAAAGAAGCGCCGGCUAACUACGUG